rnacentral:misc_RNA from 1 species
CGCCGCCGGCCGCCACAAUGCAGGAAGGCCGCCAUGGCGAUGGAGGCGGUCGGGCCGACGACCACGCCGCCACGCGGCAGGGCGUUCAGCCGCCCAGUCGCCUGGAUGCGAUCGUUGGUCAGGCUUUCGAGCUGAAACGCGGCGCGCAAGUCGUCUUCGUCGUCCGCGAUGUCGUCGAACACGCCGACCGCGGGGAAACGGCUGCUGAUGAUCCCUGUGCGUGCGGGUCGAUAUGCGUCUGAGCUGCAAGAAGCGUCAGCCCCCGCCCCGCCAGGCGUCGAGAUAGCGCCGCACGGCGUAGAGAUCGUCGAUGCCGCCGGCGGUCAUGCGGUCCAGCGGCGAGCGUCCGCCGAACGCCAGGUCGCGAUUGUCGGCCGGAGCCACCGGACCCCGUGCGCGUCGUCGGCGAACACCAGCCGCAGGCCCUUGAGAACGCCGAGCACCAGUGAGACGCGCUCAAGCUGGUCGCGGGUCAGGGACCCCCGGGCGCACCGUUGCGCCAGUUAUGUUCGGUCUGACGCGAGACGUCGCCCAGGAUUGCCCGGCGCUGAUCGACAUUCAGGCCCCACAACUCCGCUGCACGGAAGAACAGCCUGAGGGCCGGCGCCGACAGACGCCCGCCGUUCGUUGGAUCACGCAGAGCGUCCGGGCCAAUCGCCUCGCUGGCGGGUGGACCGAUGAAGGCGGAUUGAGGGGUUUCCUGUACAAACAUGGACACCAUGUACAUCAAUGUACGCCCGCUGGCAAUCCCUACCGGGCGGCGGCUACCCCCGCCUGCCCCACGGCCCUUUCGGCCCCGAGGUGGUGGGGACGGCGGUUCCGGACCCGCCCCAGGCUCCGCGGGGUUGCGGCUGGGAGCGGAUAUCGGCCUGCAACCCGACCAUGCCCAGCAACGCCUUCACCCGGUUCUGGGUGGCUGGGUGGGUGGAGAACAGGUUAUCGGCGCCGCGGCCCGAGAGCGGAUUGAUGAUGAACAGGUGGGCGGUGGCGGGAUUGCGCUCGGCCUGCAGGUUCACCUACGGAGAGUGCUACUCUAGUACUACCCCAUGACACACUUCCGUAGGUGAACCUGCGGAAGGAUCAUUAAUAGAGCAAUGAGCAGUCAGCGCCCCGGGAGAAAUCCUGGGGGCCACCCUCCUCGGAGGGUUUAGAGACGUCGGGCCUCUCGCAGAAGCUCGGUUCAGACCUCCACCCUUGAAUAAAUUACCUUUGUUGCUUUGGCAGGACGCCUCGUGCCAGCGGCUUCGGCUGCUGAGUGCCUGCCAGAGGACCACAACUCUUGAAAUACAUGAUGUCUGAGUACUAUAUAAUAGUUAAAACUUUCAACAACGGAUCUCUUGGUUCUGGCAUCGAUGAAGAACGCAGCGAAAUGCGAUAAGUAAUGUGAAUUGCAGAAUUCAGUGAAUCAUCGAAUCUUUGAACGCACAUUGCGCCCUCUGGUAUUCCGGGGGGCAUGCCUGUUCGAGCGUCAUUAUAACCACUCAAGCUCUCGCUUGGUAUUGGGGUUCGCGGUCUCGCGGCCCCUAAACUCAGUGGCGGUGCCUGUCGGCUCUACGCGUAGUAAUACUCCUCGCGAUUGAGUCCGGUAGGUCUACUUGCCAGCAACCCCCAAUUUUUUACAGGUUGACCUCGGAUCAGGUAGGGAUACCCGCUGAACUUAAGCAUAUCAAUAAGCGGAGGAAAAGAAACCAACAGGGAUUACCUCAGUAACGGCGAGUGAAGCGGUAACAGCUCAAAUUUGAAAAGCUAGCUCUUUUAGGGUUCGCAUUGUAAUUUGUAGAAGAUGCUUCGGGUGUGGCCCCGGUCUAAGUUCCUUGGAACAGGACGUCAUAGAGGGUGAGAAUCCCGUAUGUGACUGGGUGCCUUCGCUCAUGUGAAGCUCUUUCGACGAGUCGAGUUGUUUGGGAAUGCAGCUCAAAACGGGUGGUAAAUUUCAUCUAAAGCUAAAUAUUGGCCAGAGACCGAUAGCGCACAAGUAGAGUGAUCGAAAGAUGAAAAGCACUUUGGAAAGAGAGUUAAACAGUACGUGAAAUUGUUGAAAGGGAAGCGCUUGCAACCAGACUUGCGCGCUGAUGAUCAUCCGGGCUUCUGCCCGGUGCACUCGUCUGCGCUCAGGCCAGCAUCGGUUUCGGUGGUGGGAUAAAGGCCUUGGGAAUGUAGCUCCUCUCGGGGAGUGUUAUAGCCCUCGGUGCAAUGCCGCCUACCGGGACCGAGGACCGCGCUUCGGCUAGGAUGCUGGCGUAAUGGUUGUAAGCGACCCGUCUUGAAACACGGACCAAGGAGUCUAACAUCUAUGCGAGUGUUUGGGUGUCAAACCCAUACGCGUAAUGAAAGUGAACGGAGGUGAGAACCCUUAAGGGUGCAUCAUCGACCGGUCCUGAUGUCUUCGGAUGGAUCUGAGUAAGAGCAUAGCUGUUGGGACCCGAAAGAUGGUGAACUAUGCGUGAAUAGGGUGAAGCCAGAGGAAACUCUGGUGGAGGCUCGCAGCGGUUCUGACGUGCAAAUCGAUCGUCAAAUUUGCGUAUAGGGGCGAAAGACUAAUCGAACCAUCUAGUAGCUGGUUCCUGC